rnacentral:lncRNA from 1 species
UAUAAAUGUAAAACUGAAAAAUGUAGCCAACAGGGAAAUGCUAAAAACUGCAGAUCCUCGAGCCAGUUAGAUCCUGCUAGGGCUAGUCAGUUAGCCAGUCACUGAACUGGCCCUACCCCUCAUCUUUAAUGGAAUCAUGUGACAAAUAAUGUAGCUUGCUAAGUGGUGCAACCCAUCCAGAAAGUUAGCACUUCAAUGUCCUUCAGUGUUGCGUGUGUGAGUUCACCCUCCUCUCUUCAGACAGGAGGCGAGGACAUCCCCCUCUAACGCUGUGCCAGAGAGGAAGAGAGAGAGCGAGCGAGAGCAGAGAGAGAGCCUGACUGAAACCCCAUAAUGC